UACGUAGGGGGCAAGCGUUGUCCGGAAUCAUUGGGCGUAAAGCGCGUGUAGGCGGCUCGGUAAGUCUGCUGUGAAAGUCCAGGGCUCAACCCUGGGAUGCCGGUGGAUACUGUCGAGCUCGACGUCCGGAAGAGGCGAGUGGAAUUCCUGGUGGUAGCGGUGAAAUGGCGCAGAUAGUCAGGAGGAACACCAAUGGCGAAGGCAGCAUCGCUGGGACGUGACUGACGCUGACGACGCGAAAGCGUGGGGAGC
rnacentral:rRNA from 1 species